ensembl:lncRNA
AAUAAUAUAUAAGUGUUUUCAUUAGUGCAUAAUAACAGGAAACCAAGAUUCAUUGUGUUGUUGUUAGCUUAGAAUGAUCCAUUAAUCCAUCUAAAUAGGGAGCGGGUCGUCUUCAUGGAGCCCGCCAUGUUACCUGAAGGUCACGUAUGUUUUCUACACAGAGAGCGGAGGGGCAGUCAGGAGGUUUAAACUGCCACAUGACUCAGUGUGUCGUUGAAAAGAGCAAACGUAUGCAUCUAGCAAACUAGAUACAUUACAUCUCAAGCAAGAAACUAAAGGCUUUGUUUUCAUUUCCAUUAUAUACAAACUCCCGAUUAAAAGCAGGUGAGUAUAAAACAACCUGAUAAGGGAAACCAACACUGAAUAAAUUACAAACUAGUAAACACAAUAUCACAUCAAUAGAUUAAUAAAAUGGAUACAUACUUUACCCUGUAUUGAGCAUGUGGAAGACAGUUUAAAUGGUAGAUCAAUGAUUCAGUAAAUUACAUUACAUUUUAAAUGUUUUCUUUAGUCAAACAGUAAAACAAUGUUUGGGCUAGUACAGAUCUGCACACCAAAUAAUAACCUAUAAUACAACACUAACUCACUUUCACACAAUUCACUUCAUUUUGGGGAUUUAAACAUUUAAAAUAUGGCCUGUUCACUGGUUUACCAAAAUAUUUAAAAUAUAUUUUGACUACAAGACAAAAGAGCUGAUACUUCAGGCCAAGAAGGAACGAACAUGGGAAAGUAACACUGCGUUAGUCGUCGUGUGUCUUUGGCUCCUAACUUGUACGAUUAAAGGUUUACGCAUGCAGAACAUUGUGCUAAUAGUAAAGGAGUGCUAUUAGACAGUCAUCCACACCAGAUGGAAAGCCAUGUGAUUUCCCCUCAAAGCAUUUUGACCUUUCAUCCUUUAUGCUGAAAUGUGAUUCCACACUUUCGGCGAGGUUUGUUUGUUAAAUAGUUGAGUGGCCUUUAAUGUGAAUUUAAAGAACCACCAUAAAACCAGCUCACACUGGAAAUACAAAAGAAAAGUUGAAAUACUUGCAAGAAAUGCUCAGUGACUUUGUUCUCUAAAUGUAACAUUCAGGCUUAAUCAAAGAAAAGGGAAACUGGCCACCUACGUUUAAAAGCAUG